rnacentral:rRNA from 1 species
AAAAGCUCGUAGUUGAAUUUCUGUCUGUAAGGAUCGACACACUACUGUGGAGGUCUCUUCGGGCAUCUGUUUGCAAGCAUACGUUCGGCCUUGACUGGUUGGCUAUGUAAGCAAACGUUUUACCUUGAGAAAAUUAGAGUGUUUCAGGCAGGCUUCCGCCGGAAUACAUUAGCAUGGAAUAAUGGAAGAGGACUGGGGACUAUUCAUGGUUUGAGGCUCCAGUAAUGAUUAAUAGGAACAGUCGGGGGCAUUAGUACUUUACAGUCAGAGGUGAAAUUCUUGGAUUUGUAAAAGACUAACUAAUGCGAAAGCAUUUGCCAAGCAUGUUUUCAUUAAUCAAGAACGAAAGUUAGGGGAUCAAAGACGAUUAGAUACCGUCCUAGUCUUAACUGUAAACGAUUCCAUCUUAGAAUUGGGUGAAUAUCUAAUGAUUCAUCCAGCGCUAUAAGAGAAAUCAAAGUCUUUGGGUUCUUGGUGGAGUACGAUCGCAAGAUUGAAACUUAAAGGAAUUGACGGUUUUGCACACCAUGGAGUGGAGCCUGUGGCUUAAUUUGACUCAACACUGGGAAACUUAUCAGGACAAAAAAGUUUUAGGAUUGACAGAUUGAUAGCUCUUUCUUGAUUGACUUAAUGGUGGUGCAUGGCCGUUCUUAGUUGGUGGAGUGAUUUGUCUGGUUAAUUCCGAUAACGAACGAGACCUUAACCUACUAACUAGUACGACGCAACAAGCGGUAGUUACUUCUUAGAGGGACAAUGUGUUUUUAACACACGGAAGUUUAAGGCAAUAACAGGUCUGUGAUGCCCUUAAAUGUCCUGAGCCGCACACGCGCUACAAUGACACUUUCAAUAAGUUUACGCUGGUCCGACAGGAUCCUGGCUAAUCUUUUUAGUAAGUGUCGUGCUAGGGAUAGAUCUUUGCAAUUGUGGAUCUUGAACGAGGAAUUCCUAGUAAGCACAAGUCAUCAGCUUGUGCUGAUUACGUCCCUGCAAAAUGUACACAUCGCCCGUCGCUUGCUCCGAUUGAGUAAACUGGUGAGCCUUCC